UACGAGUGCCCCAAGCGUUAUCCGGAAUCAUUGGGCGUAAAGGGUGUGUAGGUUGUCUUGUUAGUCUUCUGUGAAAUUCUUCGGCUCAACCGGGGGUCCGCAGGGGAAACGGCAAGACUUGAGUACGGGAGAGGUGAGUGGAACUGCGAGUGUAGAGGUGAAAUUCGUAGAUAUUCGCAAGAACACCAGUGGCGAAGGCGGCUCACUGGCCCGUAACUGACGCUGAGGCACGAAAGCGUGGGGAGCAAACAGG
rnacentral:rRNA from 1 species